GUUGUCGUAUUCAAUUCAAUCCAUGUGUGUUGGUGUGAAUUGGGGUGGAAUUUAGUUCAAGUUUCACUUUAAUCCACCUCAACACAUGUGGAUUGAUGUGAAUCCAACA
rfam:Sorghum bicolor cultivar BTx623 chromosome 3, whole genome shotgun sequence.